CGCGAAUUUUGACCGUUAAUCCAAGCGUAAACAAAAUGAUAAAAUAAUUAAAAGCAUCAAUUAAAAUCAACUAAUCAUUAUCUCUGGGCAAUCCAAUUCAGAAAAUCAGCACUAAUUAGCUGCAAUUUUCACUUCUAUGUGACCGUAUCACCAUAGAACUACCACACUGUAAUCAUCUUCACAUGGACACUCCCAUGAACCUCCAACUAGUAUAAGCAACCCUUCUCGGUUAACUUAACUACACCCAAUACGCCCACUCUCGUAAUAACAAGAGAUUAAAAACUAGCUUAAUCAAACAUGUGUAAUACAAAAAAAAAAUGCAAAAAGAAAUAUACAAGAAAACAAAAAUAAACCUAGGCAUAAAACAUUCUGAAUGGAUAAAAACAUUUAUGAAAACUUUAAAGUUAUUUACAAACAUGAAAAUAUUGUCCACAUGACUUCUUCGGUUUGAACGUGCGGAGCCACUUCUUCGAAUCUUUCAUCAGGAACUUGUCAUUUAUAACGGUUCUUUGCCGGUUUCGGAUCGACGGAUACGCCAGUCCACUCUGUUAUUUACAUUGUACAUAUAUACAUUGUUACCAACACAAAAGUUUCGAUAUACAAGUUACUGCUAGUCUGUUGUAACAUCUCAGAGUCUUCUCAGGUUUCUAUUCAUCAAAAAUUCUCACAGGCGUUCUUCUAAUGUUCUUCAAAGUUCGAGGAUAAUGCGUUUCCAUAAAUACAAAGAAACAAAUAGGCUGACACAAAAGUUCACAAAUAUUUACAGCAAGUCACUUCAUUACAUUAUGGCAUAAACAGUCAUCCUAUUUUAAUCUCUCGUCUAAUUUGAUCAGAACUGCUCCGCUAGUCUCACUUGAAUGAAAUCGUAAAGUGUUUCUUCUUUCUGCACACGCCAUGACUUUGUAAUUCGUCCAGAUUUCAGGCACAUCAUAACUUCGGUUACUGACAUAUUGACCACGGGUACCUCCACCAGAUAUAACGGGGCUUUCUUGUGUGUGUGUUAGGAACUAUGUCAUUAUUUCGGAUCUACGUAUCCGGGAUCGUAAUCCGUGUUGCCCGUUA
rnacentral:lncRNA from 1 species